rnacentral:RNase_P_RNA from 1 species
AGAGUAGGUCGGGUGACCGCCCCCGCAUUAAUUAUAAAUAUUUAUAAUUGCUAUGGGGGAGGAAAGUCCGAGCUCCGGGGAGCGGCGUAGCGGCUAACAGCCGUCCACCGAAAGGUGAGGAUUAGAGCAACAGAGACGAGUCUCCGUCUUUUAGGCGGAGGGUGAAACGCGGCAAUCUCUACGCGGAGCAAGGCCAAAUAGUUCUCGAUUCAGGAAUUGCUCGUUCCUACCGUAUUUUAUCGGUAUCGGGAAGGGUAGGCUGCAUGAGGUUGUCAGCAAUGACAAUCCAAGAUAGAUGGUCACCGCCCCCACGCGGGGUUACAGAACUCGGCUUAUAGACCUACUUUGCUA